rnacentral:rRNA from 1 species
AACGCUAGCUACAGGCUUAACACAUGCNAGUCGAGGGGCAGCAUGAUUGAAGCUUGCUUCAAUUGAUGGCGACCGGCGCACGGGUGAGUAACACGUAUCCAACCUUCCGUACACUCAGGGAUAGCCUUUCGAAAGAAAGAUUAAUACCUGAUGGUAUCUUAAGCACACAUGUAAUUAAGAUUAAAGAUUUAUCGGUGUACGAUGGGGAUGCGUUCCAUUAGGUAGUAGGCGGGGUAACGGCCCACCUAGUCAACGAUGGAUAGGGGUUCUGAGAGGAAGGUCCCCCACAUUGGAACUGAGACACGGUCCAAACUCCUACGGGAGGCAGCAGUGAGGAAUAUUGGUCAAUGGACGAGAGUCUGAACCAGCCAAGUAGCGUGAAGGAUGACUGCCCUAUGGGUUGUAAACUUCUUUUAUACGGGAAUAAAGUGUUCCACGUGUGGAAUUUUGUAUGUACCGUAUGAAUAAGGAUCGGCUAACUCCGUGCCAGCAGCCGCGGUAAUACGGAGGAUCCGAGCGUUAUCCGGAUUUAUUGGGUUUAAAGGGAGCGCAGACGGGAGAUUAAGUCAGUUGUGAAAGUUUGCGGCUCAACCGUAAAAUUGCAGUUGAUACUGGUUUCCUUGAGUGCAGUUGAGGCAGGCGGAAUUCGUGGUGUAGCGGUGAAAUGCUUAGAUAUCACGAAGAACUCCGAUUG